GUCAGCAUGGUAUGGUGGUUUGAACAUGUAACUACAGUUCUGGAGAUCAGGGUUCAAUUCCCUGCUCAGACA